rnacentral:lncRNA from 1 species
GAGAGAAAAAUAUACCAUAAGGAUUGUUCAAAGAAUUCAUUCUUCAACUAUGACAAAUUCUAUGUCUCCAAAUCAAAAUACAAAAUUUUGCCCAAAUUAUGGUUUAAACUUCAAAUUCAAAAUGUUGCAAAGGUGUUGAGUGUCUAAAAGAGAUAUGGUUUUAUCUUUUAAAAGUAAUUGAGUUUGGCUACAUGAAUUUACAAAAUUACCCCUGGG